UACGGAAGGCAGCAGUGGGGAAUAUUGGACAAUGGGCGAAAGCCUGAUCCAGCCAUGCCGCAUGAGUGAAGAAGGCCUUCGGGUUGUAAAGCUCUUUUAGUGAGAAAGAUAAUGACGGUACUCACAGAAGAAGUCCUGGCUAACUCCGUGCCAGCAGCCGCGGUAAUACGGAGAGGGCUAGCGUUAUUCGGAAUUAUUGGGCGUAAAGAGCGCGUAGGCUGAUUAGUAAGUUAAAAGUGAAAUCCCAAAGCUUAACUUUGGAAUUGCUUUUUAAAACUGCUAGUCUAGAGAUUGAAAGAGGAUAGAGGAAUUCCUAGUGUAGAGGUGAAAUUCGUAAAUAUUAGGAGGAACACCAGUGGCGAAGGCGUCUAUCUGGUUCAAAUCUGACGCUGAGGCGCGAAAGGCGUGGGGAAAGCAAACAGGGAUUAGAUACC
rnacentral:rRNA from 1 species